rnacentral:rRNA from 1 species
ACAUGCAAGUCGAGCGAGCGGAACCAACAGAUUUACUUCGGUAAUGACGUUGGGAAAGCGAGCGGCGGAUGGGUGAGUAACACGUGGGGAACCUGCCCCUAAGUCUGGGAUACCAUUUGGAAACAGGUGCUAAUACCGGAUAAGAAAGCAGAUCGCAUGAUCAGCUUUUAAAAGGCGGCGUAAGCUGUCGCUAAGGGAUGGCCCCGCGGUGCAUUAGCUAGUUGGUAAGGUAACGGCUUACCAAGGCAACGAUGCAUAGCCGAGUUGAGAGACUGAUCGGCCACAUUGGGACUGAGACACGGCCCAAACUCCUACGGGAGGCAGCAGUAGGGAAUCUUCCACAAUGGACGCAAGUCUGAUGGAGCAACGCCGCGUGAGU